UCAAGCUACAAAUCAAUGAAGAACUGAUCUAGGAAAACUUCGAUCGGUGAAGUAAAAGAGGAAGGACCACGCAUCGGUCGGCAAGGGACGCAUCGAUGUCCUUUCGAACUAUACAAUGAUGCACUGACCGAGCGAGCAAAUUAUCGUUAGACUUUGAAAAGAAGCGAAAAAUGCUCAAUAACAGCAAAACAUGAAUUGAGAAACGGCAAUAAGCGAACUGGUGACCGUGAGACGUUCCGGAAGCGCUCCGUCGUCUACUUCGGUUGGUGUACACUAGGCUUCCUUGACCGGCAUUGUUUUUUUCGUCCUUCCAAUUGCAAAGGUUUCCAUCAUGUGCGACCGGUGUCGUGACGCAGGCAGCAACAGCAGCGUAGAAGAGUUUAUCAUUCGACCUCAGAAACGUGCGCAUAGCGGAGACGUGAUUGACUACCAUCUUGGGAAAUCCUGUGAAGGAUAGAUCGUUGCGUCAGCCGUUCCCAUACCUACGCAACGUUUCGAGCGUG